AAAAAGGAGAAGAAACCCUUCAAGAAGCAACGAGCAUACAUAUCUUGGGGAGGAGAUUCCGGAGACGAAUCCAGUGAAGAAGAAAAUGAAGAAGCGGAAAAUCUCUGCCUCAUGGCACAGGAAGAAAAUCAAAGUGAGGUGAGUCAAAUCUCUUCUCAAAAUUUUUAUACUCUUGAUGACAUGAGAAUUGCCUUUGAUGAAUUGUAUGCUGAAUUUCUCAAAGUUACAAAAACCGUCACUAGUCUAAGAGAAAGUGCUUCUCUAAAAGAACAAGAUUUUCAAAAACAGUUUUCAUUAAAAGAAAAGGAGCUAGAAAAAUUGGUUUCAGAAAAUGAGAAGCUACUUGAACAAAACAAGUUUUAUGGGAAAAGGAGUGCUGACAAGCCCGAGAGUUCUACUAAAAAUUGUGCUUCUUGUGUAGACCUUAAGAAUGAGAUAGGUAGACUAAAGGGCACACUAGAUAAAUUCAACUCCUCUCAUAAGAACUUGAAUGUGGUGCUUGAUAACUUAAAAUCAACUAAGCAUGGAAUAGGCUUCAUUAAUGAAGAAAAGGUCGAUGCAAAGACCCAACCACCUAGAGCUCAACCUAGGACGAAUAACAAAAAUGCGUUUCCUAGCAAUACUAGAACCAACGUGCAUGCUAGACAAAAUGAUAGGAGACCUAGACAUGACUUUGCGCCUAGAAAUAAUCACUAUAGAAAUAAUGCAUCUUUUAGACAUAAUAGUGAUCAUGCUAGAAGAAAUGUUCAACCUAGAAAUGGUUAUGCUAGAAAUAAUGCUCAAUUUAGGAGAAAUGAAAAUAGAGUAAGAGAUAUGCAUUAUUCAAGUUACUAUAAGCCUAGACGCAUGCAUAAUCCAAAUGUCACAUGUCAUUACUGUAGACGAGUUGGUCACAUUGCACCCGCAUGCUUUACUAGACAUAGACAUGCUACCCAAACGUAUCAUUAUAGUAUGCCUAACCCUCAAGGACCCAAAAUGGCAUGGGUACCAAAAGAGCAUUGAUUUGUUUUGUAGGUGUGCUUGAAGGAAUCAAGUGGUUGCUCCAAACACUUGACGGGAAACAAAUUCAAAAUUCCUUCAAUUAAAGCACAAAGAAGGAGGAAGAGACGGAAAAGGCAAUUUAGGCAUGUUUGAUGCAAAUCGGAUAAAGGUAUUUUGAAAAAUUUAAAAGACAAAAUACAUGGAAGGCAAAAUUGUGAAACCAUUAUUGGAAGAAGUAUCUCAAAUUGAAGAAUGAGCCAAAAGACCAAAAUAAACGGAGGAUGCUCAAAAUCAGGUAAUUGGCAAAGUCGAAGGGAAGGUAAGUACCCUAAACCCUCUUAAGAACAUCCUAGGACAAAAUUCUUAAGAGUUCACGUUUUCACCCGACUACACUAGUUUCAAAGUUAUCAUUUCAUUUAUAGAUUACUGACUUGAUCGUCGGAGUGGUUUAGUUUCUUUUUGCAGGUACUCUCCAAAAGGUAAGAGGAAAGUAUAAAUUAUCUUGGUACAAGAAAAAUCGAUCAAAAUCGAUUAUUUAUGCUUACAAUCGAUUAUCAGUAUCAAUAAUCGAUUAUUUGUUGAUUUAAUUAUUAUGUCAUGAAGUCUUGUUUCAUAAUUGAGUGUUUAAAUUGCUUGAUAGAAUUAAAUCUCAUCAUUUUAGCAUCCGCCUUCCAAACAAUCGAUUAUUUGUUCUGCCAAUCGAUUAUUUGCCAAAAUUCAAACUCUCUGUGAGUAAACAAUCGAUUACUAUAUACUGACAACGAUUAUUUGCCAAAAUCCAAACUCUCUGUGAAUGAAAUAAUCGAUUACCAUAUAUUGACAAUCGAUUAUCUGUUUUAAACUUAUGUUACCGUU
rnacentral:lncRNA from 1 species